rnacentral:sRNA from 2 species
AAAAAAAACAAAGAUUUACUCUCCUACAUCUCACCGAGUGAGUAGGUAAUCCGUGCGUACGUGCGUGCGAGUGACUGAUAGAUAGGAAAAGAGAUGACUCGACUGUGAUCUGGUGUAGUUAUUCAUUUAGAAAUACGUGCGUCGCCUCCCUCGUCGUUUCCGCAGCCUUCCUUUUCUCCAGGUAACUCGGAUCCGCGGAUCUUGGGGUUUUUGUGUUUCUCAGCCACGCCCCAACCAUGCGGUUUCGAGUUGAAUGAAUAUAGACAUAAAAAAGAUAAAAGUAGAUAAAUGCCGGUGAUAAAGUAUGAGAGAGACAAGAAGCACCGAAAGAACGAAACAAAAACAUCAAUAGAGAGCCCAACAAAGAGUAAGAUAACCACAAAAAAGGAGGAGAGUUUGAAACGCCGCCCCACCUGUCCCAUGUCAACCUCCUCCCGCCAAAACAACCCCCUUCUGGAUUGAUCAAUCUCGACCUUUGGCCGCGCCCCCGGAGUGACCAAUACGUCCAAAGAUCAUACAGAGAUAUGCUGGGCUGCUUUUCGUCUACAGUAUCAGAGUUCCUGCUGGGUACCUUGUCCGCAGAGCCCAGGGGGGGUUAUGGGUGUGGAAAUUCGGUAACUACGGAUG